AUUGAACGCUGGCGGCAGGCCUAACACAUGCAAGUCGAGCGCGCGGCGGACGGGUGAGUAAUGUCUGGGAAACUGCCUGAUGGAGGGGGAUAACUACUGGAGACGGUAGCUAAUACCGCAUACCAUCAGAUGUGCCCAGGUGGGAUUAGCUAGUAGGUGGGGUAACGGCUCACCUAGGCGACGCUCCCUAGCUGGUCUGAGAGGAGGACCAGCCACACUGUAACUGAGACACGGUCCAGACUCCUGCGGGAGGCAGCAGUGGGGAAUAGUGCACAAUGGGCGCAAGCCUGAUGCAGCCAUGCCGCGUGUGUGAAGAAGGCCUUCGGGUUGUAAAGCACUUUCAGCGGGGAGGCGUUACCCGCAGAAGAAGCACCGGCUAACUCCGUGCCAGCCGCCGCGGUAAUAC
rnacentral:rRNA from 1 species